UACAGAGGUCUCAAGCGUUGUUCGGAUUCAUUGGGCGUAAAGGGUGCGUAGGCGGCGCGGUAAGUCGGGUGUGAAAUCUCGGAGCUUAACUUCGAAACUGCAUUCGAUACUGCCGUGCUUGAGGACUGGAGAGGAGACUGGAAUUUACGGUGUAGCGGUGAAAUGCGUAGAUAUGUCACAGAACACCAAUUGCGAAGGCAGCUUACGUAUGGUUUUAUUGACACUGAGGCACGAAAGCGUGGGGAUCAAACAGG
rnacentral:rRNA from 1 species